GUGGCAUUUCCAGCGCGUUUGGCCACAAAAGCUCCGGGUUGAAUGGCUUAGCAUCCCCCUCUCCGUCUCUCCUUGCAUCACAAAGCUCAGAAGCACCAUUUGAAGUUUCAAAAGGAACGCGUUUUUUGUGAAUGAGAUAAUCAGCGCCGACUAAUCUGCCACGCGCCCCUCCUUGUAAUCCGCACACCUCCAAUUGAGGGAACAAAGCCGGGUCCAGCUAAUCCCGCGGGGUCCUGCCUUGAAGCUGUUGCACGGUCCCUGUGGCAGGAGCGGAGGUGGGAAGGAUUAUGCUGCCAAGAGCAGAUGCAUGUCUGCGUUCUUACAGCCUGGCCCCUUGUUGUGCAUAAUUCCAGGUAAUGAACUUCAGGCUUGAGCCACCAGGCACGUCUGGGUCCCCACAACGAUGGGGCAGAAGUGACCCCAUUAACCAGAUGCACAGGAUCCAUGUGGGAAAGCACCUGCUGCCACGAGCCCCAGAGAUCUGAGCCCUGCAGGUGGGACAGGGAGGUGAAACCACUUCCCAGCUCAUAAAUGGUGCCAGGCUGCUGCACUGAGAGUCGCAGGACCAGGGGGAAGGGAAAACCCUCGUGCUCAGAGUACCCGAGGAGAGGGAGGGGAGCUGUGCUGGAGUCUGGGCUGCUCAUGCAUUUCACAUACAGAGCCACUGGAUCAAACAAACAGCAAAGCCCCAGGAGAAAUCCCAGAGGCUCUUAAAUCCCAUAUUUCCUCAUUGCUAUGGAAGAAGCGUGCGCUGUGCGGGGAAAGGAGUCAAUUUGCUGAUAAAAACAGGCUUGGAGCUGCCUCACUGGAACAAACAGGAGCAGAGAACAUCCGUCCUUGGGAUCUAAACUUGCUGUGCUGUUACAGACUGCACCCCAAUUAAAACCACAAAAAGCUGUCUUCCCCUUUCUCUAAAAUCCACUCCAGAAGAAAAGAAGCUGUUCCUGAUAUACUGCAGUAAAAGCAAUCCAGUUGACUGUCUUUGGAGAGCUCUGCUCUCUCCAGAAGGAGGAAUCUCUCCCGCAUCCAUGCACGCUCAUUCCUGCUCUGUGCCUCUCUGAAGGGAGCCAUCACUCUCUUCAAAACACUCUCCCGUAGUCAGCAGUGAUAGGCAAUGUAAUAAUACCUUUUAUUGGGUCAAUACAUCAGCUGGAAAGCAGAAGCCACCCUUUUCUGCAGGUGAUGGCCAAGGAUUGACCCAUGUGAGUGUGCAGGCCGGGGUAUUACGGCUCUUGGUCCAGCCC